CCAUAAUGUAAAAGAAUCAUAAUGAGCAGUAAUAAAAUAAGUUAUAAACUCAAACUUUAUGGCGGCAAAUAAAAACUACAGGGGAACUUACUUCAUAAAUGAUAAUCACCAAGAAAUGUCACUUUCUAUUAUUUUAGUUUGUAUACCGUCGUUAAAAAAGGACCCAUAAAGGGUUUUUAAGAUAUUUUCAUUUUAAGUAUUAUAACAGAUCAAGGUGCAGCAUAUAAGAAAGGAGAUCAGCGAGUUACAAUAAUAAUUUUUAUUUCCAGCGAUAGGUGGAAUUGACCUAUAAAAAGAUGGACUUGUAAGUAUAUGUAAAUAUAUAUAAAUUUAGAAUAAAAUAUUUAUUUGUGC
rnacentral:rRNA from 1 species